rnacentral:RNase_P_RNA from 1 species
CAGGUCAACCAGGUGCGCGCGCUGAACAAGUGAGGAAAGUCCGUACACCACAGAGCAGGAUGCCAGGUAACCCCUGGGAAGGCGUAAGCUUUCGGAUCGGGCCACAGAGACAUACCGCUCGCAAGAGCAAGGGUGAAAAGGUGGUGUAAGAGACCACCGGCGUUUCUGGCAACAGAGACGGCCAGGUAACCCCCAUCCGGUGCAAGGUCAAACAGGAGAAAGAGCCUGCUCGGCUCAUUUGAUCUCCGGGUAGACCGCAUGAGCAGUCUGGUGACAGAUUGUCGAGAUAGAUGCGCAUCCGCGACAGAAUACGGCUUACCGGUUGACCUGAGUA